GGUAGCGCCCAAGCCCGGCUCCCGGAAGAGACGGCGCCCAGAAGCCACUGCACUUCAGCACUUCCGCUUUCCGGCCUAGCCAGCACCAGCAAUGACUGCCACUCUCCGCCCCUACCUGAGCGCCGUGCGGGCCACGCUGCAGGCUGCGCUCUGCCUGGAGAACUUCUCCUCCCAAGUGGUGGAGAGGCACAACAAGCCAGAGGUAGAAGUCAGGAGUAGCAAAGAACUCCUCUUGCAACCUGUGACCAUCAGCAGGAAUGAGAAGGAAAAGGUUCUGAUUGAGGGUUCCAUCAAUUCUGUUCGGGUCAGCAUUGCUGUCAAACAGGCUGAUGAGAUUGAGAAGAUCCUUUGCCACAAAUUUAUGCGAUUCAUGAUGAUGAGAGCAGAGAACUUCUUCAUCUUGCGUAGGAAGCCUGUGGAGGGUUAUGAUAUCAGUUUCCUGAUUACAAACUUCCAUACAGAACAAAUGUACAAACACAAACUGGUGGACUUUGUCAUCCACUUCAUGGAGGAGAUUGAUAAGGAAAUCAGUGAAAUGAAGCUGUCUGUCAAUGCUCGUGCUCGUAUUGUGGCAGAGGAGUUCCUCAAGAAUUUAUAGGGCCCUUUAAUGAGGGAAUACUUAACUCCAUACAAUAUGAGUACUGACAGUUUUAGAGCAUCUGACUGGAUCUCUGGCUGCUCCCUCCUCUCUGCAAAGCUGCCCUGGCCAGCUCAGAAGACCCUAGGGCAAGGGGAGGGAUGGGGCUUGGGGAUGCUGGGCACUGCUGGAGAGCUUGCUAUUGCAAAGAAAACCGCAGUAGAUCUGCAAGGCCACACCCAGUGGGUCAGCCUGGCCAUCUAUGUUCAGUCCCCUGGGCUGGGACAAGUUUUUUUAAUGUCUUUAAAUUUAAAACUCUGUGCUUGUAGGACACUGUAA